rnacentral:lncRNA from 1 species
AAAAUCAUAUCAACAUCUCCGACAUAAUAUUUUUCUUUUGUUAUUCAAAAAUCACCUUUGAAUCCGAAUGAACAUUUUUAUUUUUAAGCAACUCCAAUCGCCUCUGAGGAUGAUAGUGUUAUUUUAGUGAUUAACACAACCAUUGAGGAAAUAUCUAAUUAAAUACUACAAGUUAACAUGAUACAUCAUUACUGAGUUCGUCACUCUCGGUACAUUAGAAGAAUGAGAUCAAGAUGUCUUUCAAUGAUUAACAAUGAGAUAAAAUUUGUGAUAGAAAAGGGAUAGUGAAUUCUAAAUUCUAAUUCAGCAAAGUUUCAAGUGAAACGUCCUCUUAAGGGCACAAUAGUAAUUUUAUUGUUAAGAAUAUGUAGCACUACUAUGGCAUACAUUCAAAAUUGCUUGAAGUAUAUUUCAUUGAUUAUAUGGAUGAAUCUAACCUUAAGAUGCAGCAAAGUGUGGAAUGAGUCGACCC